GACAGAGGGUGCAAACGUUGUUCGGAAUUACUGGGCGUAAAGCGCGUGUAGGCGGCUAUGUAAGUCGGGCGUGAAAUCCCACGGCUCAACCGUGGAAGUGCACCCGAAACUGCGUAGCUAGAGUCCUGGAGAGGAAGGUGGAAUGCUUGGUGUAGAGGUGAAAUUCGUAGAUAUUAGCAGGAACACCGGUGGCGAAGGCGGCUAUCUGGACGACAACUGACGCUGAGGCGCGAAAGCCAGGGGAGCAAACGGG
rnacentral:rRNA from 1 species